UUAGAUUCUGCAAAAAUUCAUUUUUAUUUGCUUUUAAUUCUUUCUGGCUUGAACUAGAUAUUUGGUAUGGUUUAAACAUGUGUGGUUUUAUUUCUUUUCUCUCUUCUAUUUCUUCUUCUCUAUUUUUUAAAAUUUUCUCUAUCUUUUUUAACUGGGUACCUAUACAUAUUAGGCUUGCAUUACCAAAGUUGUUCUGUUCUAUGACCUUUUUAUCUGUAUCACUUUCUUUAGCUAUUUUAUAGGGUGCACAAAUUAUUUCAUUUUCUCCAUG
rnacentral:lncRNA from 1 species